rnacentral:rRNA from 1 species
GACGAACGCUGGCGGCGUGCUUAACACAUGCAAGUCGAACGGAAAGGCCCUGCUUUUGUGGGGUGCUCGAGUGGCGAACGGGUGAGUAACACGUGAGUAACCUGCCCUUGACUUUGGGAUAACUUCAGGAAACUGGGGCUAAUACCGGAUAGGAGCUCCUGCUGCAUGGUGGGGGUUGGAAAGUUUCGGCGGUUGGGGAUGGACUCGCGGCUUAUCAGCUUGUUGGUGGGGUAGUGGCUUACCAAGGCUUUGACGGGUAGCCGGCCUGAGAGGGUGACCGGCCACAUUGGGACUGAGAUACGGCCCAGACGCCUACGGGAGGCAGCAGGGGGGAAUAUUGCACAAUGGGCGGAAGCCUGAUGCAGCAACGCCGCGGGCGGGAUGACGGCCUUCGGGUUGUAAACCGCUUUCGCCUGUGACGAAGCGUGAGUGACGGUAAUGGGUAAAGAAGCACCGGCUAACUACGUG